GCAAUGAAGAAACAAACUAGGACAACUGUUAAGUUCAGAGCCAGGGUUUGCACUUAGGUCUGUCUUUGGUCUUCUCGCUCAUGUGUUCUUAGAGGGGCUUGGAUGUGCCCCUCUUGGAUGUGUGGAGUGUAAUUAGGAAGGAUGGAGUAUUGAGUCUGCUGGGGGAGUUCUGUGGAGUAGGGGAUGGCAGGAAGGCCAGGCCCUUAUAUGCCAUUCAUCUUCCAGUGUACGCCUGGAAGGGUGAAACAGAUGAGGAGUACCUGUGGUGCAUUGAGCAGACACUUCACUUUAAGGAUGGACCCCUCAACAUGAUUCUGGAUGAUGGUGGUCACCUAACCAACCUCAUCCACACCAAGUACCCACAGCUUCUGUCAGGCAUCCGAGGCAUCUCUGAGGAGACCACAACUGGGGUUCACAACCUC